rnacentral:lncRNA from 1 species
GAUAAUUCUCCACUUGUUCCUACUUGUAUAAAAAAUUGUUAAGCAAGACUUACUCCUUUACCAACAAUAGUAUUAUAAUAAUCAUAACAACAAUAACAACUGGACACAGAAUUUGGAAAAGUGGAAAUAGAAGCAUGAGUCUCUGAUAUAUCAAGCACGUGAGGCUGGUCUGUGUAGGUGGGCAUGUGUGAGUUUUAAAUGAUUUCCCCUUCUAGGAAUGAUUGUUUGUAUUUGAAACAGUUCCAGCUAUUAAAGUUUUUUAAAGGUUCCUGUUGUCAAAAGAUCAUGAAAUCGUUCGAGCCGUUCUGAUGACUUUGGAGAUGGCAAGGCUAGUGGUGACCAAGGUUUUGGGAGGAAAUUUUUCUAGUUCUUUCUGUAAGGCAAGUUCCCUGUUCUCCACUGAUGAAUUUGAUACUGGCAUCCAUAUGGUGAUCGAUAAUUCUCCACUUGUUCCUACUUGUAUAAAAAAUUGUUAAGCAAGACUUACUCCUUUACCAACAAUAGUAUUAUAAUAAUCAUAACAACAAUAACAACUGGACACAGAAUUUGGAAAAGUGGAAAUAGAAGCAUGAGUCUCUGAUAUAUCAAGCACGUGAGGCUGGUCUGUGUAGGUGGGCAUGUGUGAGUUUUAAAUGAUUUCCCCUUCUAGGAAUGAUUGUUUGUAUUUGAAACAGUUCCAGCUAUUAAAGUUUUUUAAAGGUUCCUGUUGUCAAAAGAUCAUAAAACAUCUUAGAAUGGAGUUAUAGUGUUUAAAAAAAGAUAGAAUGGUUAACUCGCAAUUGUCUUCCAGAUAUAAAAUGAGAAGAGUUUAAACCAGUUUCUGUGGAUAUGCUGCAACUGUAGCCAUACUCAGAUGUUACUUGUGGUUGUUUGGCCUAUUGUGUUCCAUGCCAACUGCUACCCGAGAAAAUAAGGGGGGAGGGGUUAAGGAAAUGCUGCAUUUUAUCCUUCUAUGUCCAUCAUAGAAGGCUCCUCGGGAUUUGCCCCUAGGACUAUGUUUUGAUGUAAUGGCGCUGGUUUGUUUAACAGGCGUGGACUCUGUGAAUAUGGUUAUUUGGGAAUGACCAUAAAGCAUAAAGAGACGAAAUGCGCGACUGAUGUCCAAUUUGUGAAGCAUCUGUGUUGAUUGCCAGGCUCCGUGUUUAGAGUUGCUGUAGCUUCAGAUUUUACAACUCAAUUGCUAUACUUAGAAUUCCAUGAGAAUAACCAUUUUAUAUCCACUUUGUAACACCUAUAGGUAAUCUAUAGCUAUCGAGAAAGUCGUUCACUUGCCUGCUAUUAUAUCGUUUGAUGGUCGUAAUUUUUGUUCCCUAGCUUGAUAUUAACUUGUGCUAUUGGAGCUGUUGAUUGGUAUCCUGCAGUAUGUAGAGACAGUUUGGAUCUUCUACUCUCAAUUUCUAAAAACUAUGUAUCAGUAUUUCCUUUCCGAUUAUUAGACCAAAUGUAAAAAGAAUGCUUUGAUUUUUCAUUCCAGUAGGAGAUAAAGGUGCGACAAGAAAACUUUGUUGGUAAAUGUAUGAUCUACAUUCAUGUUUGGAAAAUUACCAGCUAUGUCCAUUUAUAGGUAGCUCAUUAUAAAAAUUGGUUACUAAUUUAGCCAAACUAGCCAAUUAGCUAUUUGUAACCAAAAAAAUUAAAUUUUUACUUUGUUUUGAUUGGGUGUUACUAGAAUAGAUAGGAGCUUGAAUCUGAGUUUUGGGAUGAUUUGAUAAAGUUUUGAAGUGGUUUGAAUUGAAAAUUCGAUAAAAAUUGAAUACGAAAAAAAUGAUAUGUGCAUUAUUUGUUUAUUAUAUUUGUAUUUAUUGUGUAUUAUAUGUAUAUCCAAUGUAUACUUGUGUGUGAUACACGUGUGUCGCAAAAGACUUUUGUGAAUUCGAGUUAAUUACAAAUUUUGAUACUAAACCAGUUCAAAUCACCUUCAAUUUCUCUCAAAUUUUGUAUAUUGACUUAUCUCUAUAUUUUCGAUGAAUUUUAAUUAUACUCAUCAAAAAAGUUUUUUUUUUGUUUAGAUUUUUGGAAUAUUGUAUAUAUUCCAAAAAUUUGAAGGGAAGACAGUAUUCUUCCCAUCCAACUGAAGUAUUGUAUCCUUUUCUGCCCAUUUUUACUUCAAGUUCGAGAGAUUGAAGGCGGGUAUGAACUUCUGGUUUGGGAAACAGAGGACGACUAGGUACAUCUUCAAUUUUGAGGCGGAGUUGUUCAAGAUUGGGAAACCUCAACCAGAAACUUGGAUUCAUAUUAUCCACAUAUGGCUAGUCUUGUAUAAGUUUAUGAUUAAUGGUUAGAGGUUUGUAAGUAGAGAUUUAUUUAGGAUAUUUGUAUAAGUUUCCCUUCAUAUUUGCCUUAAUGUGGGUUAAUUUGUCGAAUACAAAGUCUUUUCUUAUUGGAUUUUACCUUCUGUAGCAAAGGUUAUUACCUUAUUUAUUUUAAAU